rnacentral:rRNA from 1 species
AGAGUUUGAUCAUGGCUCAGAACGAACGCUGGCGGCAGCUUAACACAUGCAAGUCGAACGCACCGCAAGGUGAGUGGCAGACGGGUGAGUAACGCGUGGGAACGUGCCCUUCAGUUCGGGAUAACCCAGGGAAACUUGGGCUAAUACCGGAUACGUGCGAGAGCAGAAAGAUUUAUCGCUGAAGGAUCGGCCCGCGUCUGAUUAGCUAGUUGGUGGGGUAAUGGCCCACCAAGGCGACGAUCAGUAGCUGGUCUGAGAGGAUGAUCAGCCACAUUGGGACUGAGACACGGCCCAAACUCCUACGGGAGGCAGCAGUGGGGAAUAUUGGACAAUGGGCGCAAGCCUGAUCCAGCCAUGCCACGUGAGUGAUGAAGGCCUUAGGGUUGUAAAGCUCUUUCGUCCGGGACGAUAAUGACGGUACCGGAAGAAGAAGCCCCGGCUAACUUCGUGCCAGCAGCCGCGGUAAUACGAAGGGGGCUAGCGUUGUUCGGAAUCACUGGGCGUAAAGGGCGCGUAGGCGCCUGAUAAGUCGGGGGUGAAAGCCUGUGGCUCAACCACAGAAUUGCCUUCGAUACUGUCGGGCUUGAGACCGGAAGAGGUAAGUGGAACUGCGAGUGUAGAGGUGAAAUUCGUAGAUAUUCGCAAGAACACCAGUGGCGAAGGCGGCUUACUGGUCCGGUUCUGACGCUGAGGCGCGAAAGCGUGGGGAGAAAACAGGAUUAGAUACCCUAGUAGUCC